rnacentral:rRNA from 1 species
GACGAACGCUGGCGGCGUGCUUAACACAUGCAAGUCGAACGGAAAGGCCCUGCUUGCAUGGUACUCGAGUGGCGAACGGGUGAGUAACACGUGGGUGAUCUGCCCUGCACUUCGGGAUAAGCCUGGGAAACUGGGUCUAAUACCGGAUAGGAGCCAUUUUUAGUGUGAUGGUUGGAAAGUUUUUUCGGUGUAUGAUGAGCUCGCGGCCUAUCAGCUUGUUGGUGGGGUAAUGGCCUACCAAGGCGGCGACGGGUAGCCGGCCUGAGAGGGUGGACGGCCACAUUGGGACUGAGAGAAGGCCCAGACACCGACGGGAGGGAGAAGGGGGGAAGCUUGCAGGAUGGGCGCAAGCCGGAUGCAGCGAGGCCGCGUGGGGGAUGACGGCCUUCGGGUUGUAGACUCAUUUCGCUAGGGACGAAGCUUUUUGUGACGGUACCUAGAGAAGAAGCACCGGCUAACUACGUG